ACCACGAACACGUCGCUCCCGCAGCUCCGCAGCUGCUGCAGGAUCUUGUGCUCCGGCUGCCGCAGGCGCCUACGGCGGGGGGGUAGUCCUGAGAUGCUCCAACAGGCAGCAAGCUCCCGCCGCUGAUCAUUACUCAGCACCGCCUACCCUGGCAUCCACUCGAACCAUCUCUCCAUGGGGUGGGUGGACGCCCCGAGGCAAUAAGAACGCACGUGCGUACAAAACCCUGCACGCGAACGUUCACGCAGGACCGUGCGCAAGCACCCACACGUGGAGACAACCCAGGUGUCCAGCAAACUGAUGCACGAGUACACGCGUGGGGAAACCCACACAAAGGACGACAGGUGACAGAGUGCUCACGGGCCGUGAGAAGGAAGGAAGUACUGACACGCAGAAAGGUGAACGAAGCUGACAGAGAAGACACAUCCCCUGAUGUGCGGACGUGACACGUCCACGACGAACCAGGCCAUACACAGAAAGCAGGUGACCGGCUGCCCGGGGCUGGGGGUGGACAAGGGGGAGGGACAGCUGAUAGGCACAUGGUUUCUUUGGACGUGAUGGGAGGUUCCAAAAUCAAUCGUGGUGAUGGUUUCACAGCUCCGAAUAUGCUAACGCCCGUGGAGUUUUAUAGUUCAAACGGGUGAAUUGUGUGGCAUGUGAAUUAUGUCUCAAUACGCUGUUAUAGAGAAAAUGUGGAGUCCAGUAAGGACAUCCAACCGGUCACAAGGGCACUCCUCAGUGCCCGGUCCUGGGUCACGUGUGAAUCACAGCCCGUGCAAGGCAGCCGGGAGCCCCACACCCUUCCUCCACCAUCACAUCCUGCCUCUGGGCUCUUGCCGUGUGCCACCCUGGAGGCCACACCAGGGCUCCUCCGUCGGCCUGAGACUCACCCUGAAGGCUCUGCCACGUUCCUUCACUGACCCACGAGCCUUCCGUCCGGGGGUGUGGGGGGAGGGGCAGGGUCCCUGUCUGGGUCUGUCCCCGGGCCAGGAGUCUUCGGUGCAGGCCCGAGGGCUGUGCUGGCUGAGGGCCCCUGGGGCCAUGGGCACAUCUUCAGCUCGGUGUGGGGCUCCCAGCUCCAGUCCAGCCCCUGGAGCCCAUUUGCCGGUAUAGACAGGGCGUUCUUGCCGGUAGCAGUAGGAGGCUCCGAGAGCCUGGGUAAGGCUGAGUGCGCGUGUGCUCAUGCGUGUGCGUAUGCGUCUCCACACGUGUGCACGUAGUGUGCGCACGUGUGUUCACACGUACACAUGUCCACCAUGUGUGCCUGUGCGUGCACGUGUGUGCGCUUGUGAUGAGGGAGCAGGGGGCAGGCUGGGGCCGGCGCAAGCUAGCACCCCCGCCCCCCACGCGUGGGACAUUCCUCAGGCCCUCCCGGCUGCCCAAGGACAAAGGAGAGGACAGAGAACAAGCGGCCAACCGACAGAGAUCCAGUCCUGCAGGACCUGAGUCUGCAUCAGUUUACAAAUGUCUUAGUAAAUUGCAAGAAAAAGGCAGUCUUCUCAGUAACCUCAUCUCCAGAAACCCACAGACUCGGUUUCCUGUGGCCCCAACAUCACCCCUCCGUAGUGACGUGGGGAACAAAGGCAGAAGGAAAUAGGAGGUAAAACUAAACGUCCUUGUGACCUGCAGCCCAUCGACAGGCAAGCCGCGGCAGGUACAGAGUACAGCUUCUCCAGGAACAACCCUUCGGUCCUAAAGUUAAUGUCUUACUAGGUGGAAAACCACCUCAGCUUGACAAUAGCCAGGCCUCAGGCAUCUUAGGAGUCCUCUUUAGCAAAUCAAUGGCCCUCUGGACGCCUCGCAUUUGACCUUGCUCCCCCAACUUCAUAGCAUAUGAGGAGCCACUCCUCACGACCCCAGGGCAGCUCUCCCUGCCCACGGGUCCUGGCCCCGUGCUUUAAUAAAAUCACCUUUUUGCACCAAAGACGUCUUCGAGAAUUCUUUCUUGGCGGUGGGCUCCGGACCCCCCACCGUCACCCCCAAACCUCAUCACUUGUACAUUUGUAUUUGUGUCUGUACAUGUUUGCAUGUGUUGUGUGCGUUUGUGUGUUGGGGGCUGCGAGGCCCACGGCUCCUACGUGGG